GACGAACCACACGAACGUUAUUCGGAAUUACUGGGCUUAAAGGGUGUGUAGGUGGCGCGCUAAGUCGGGUGUGAAAUUUCGGAGCUUAACUCCGAAACUGCAUUCGAUACUGGCGUGCUUGAGGACUGGAGAGGAGACUGGAAUUCAUGGUGUAGCAGUGAAAUGCGUAGAGAUCAUGAGGAAGACCAGUGGCGAAGGCGGGUCUCUGGACAGUUCCUGACACUGAGACACGAAGGCCAGGGGAGCAAACGGG
rnacentral:rRNA from 1 species